CCGCUCGGAUUCCGCCCGCCUUCCCCUCCCUGGGACCCGGGGUUUGCAGCAAGGAGGCCGGGGCGGGAGGGACGGCGUUGCAGGGAUGUGUGGCCUCUGUUUUCGCUCCCUCCUCCUCCAGGCUUCCAGCCCACAGCUUCCCGGGAAAGGCCGGGCCGGAUCCAGGAGGCAAGAAAUAAUACAAAUACCAGCAUUUCAGCGAACGGCUUCUUUUGUGAAACACUUCAGUCCUGGCACUUAGCGGGGGCUCUCUCGCCAGCAGCCCUUCCAUUUCACAGAUGAGGAAACCGAUGCUCAGAAAGGUGGCGUUUCUUGCUCAGGUAUUUCCAACACGCUUGAGAAAUCCAAUGUCGGGGAGGGGAAAGGAGGGGCGCAUUUGAGAAAAAAAUAGUAAGCAGCUCCAUUAUCUCUGACUCAAAGACGUGUGGAGGGCCCUGGACUCAGUUUCCCUUUUCCUAGAAGAUGUUACGAGAGGCCCCUGGAGGUCAGCACAGACUGAGUUGGAGAGACCCAGGCUUGAUUCCUGCCCCUCCCUCUGCUCUGGACAGCCUCGGUUUCCUCAUUUAUGAACUGGGCAGCUUCUGAGUGCCUCUGUCUACUAAGGUUGCAGGAGCAAACAUUGAUGAAAACCCCUUCGCCCGGGGCCUGGCCCUCCAGGGUGGUAGCCAGACGUGAAGCAUCACAAAGACUCCACCUCCAGCGUGCGGGACUCUUCCUGUCAUUUCGGUGCUGUUGCCGUUAGCUCUGCUCUCCGGGAGAUGCCACCAGCACGUCACCUGCCCAGGGUCACCCAGUGAACAAGAAACAGGAUCAGCAUUGAACACGGAGUCAGUCCAUUUGCUUCCGAAUUCUCCACAUGAGGACCAAGAAACUUGGAAGCACAGCUCUGACGAGACGCACAGCCCCGAAAAAGUUGGUAUCGAAGACGUUCUGCAUGGCAGCUAGGCUGAGCCCCUCCAAGGGCCCCACCAGGCCCACUCCAGCAUUAUUCACUAAGGGGGGGGGGUGAGGUUACAUUGAGGUCCCCCAAACCUUUCUAGUGCCACUCCUGUGGGGACACUCCCUGGAUCAUCCCAUCCCCUGCUCCAAAUUCAGGGCCAGGCCAGAGUAUCUCGAGUGGAAGAGUGUGGAGCCCUGGUGAUUUUUACAUAUAGUUUAACAUUUGUUAUAGGGACCCUGAACCCUGGGUGGGGGGGGGGGAAGGGCUGCUGGGAACAGCCUCCCCUUAAUACAUGAGCCGUUCAGCUCUGACCCCACAUUGCGUCAAAACAGCCACACCUGCCCUCCUUCAAAAGCCUCUGAGGGAACUUGUGUCGCUUCUUCAACAGAAGCUCUUUCCCCAAAAUGACUCAUCAGAGUAAUUUUUCCAACUGCAUAUGGUUUUCUCCAAAUGUGGGAAGUUCUAUUCAAUAAAAUCCAUCCUACACCCAGGA